UGCCAGCAUCUAACUUUCAGCCUGCAGCAUACUUUGGAGUUGCAGUGGGUGAAAUUGCCUGAAGCUUUGACUUGAGCACUGCAAUUAGACAAUGGCACACUACAAGAUCACCAACCGAACAUUAGCCUCCAUUGUUUUUCAACUUCUAACAAAUGGUUGGCACAGGGUCAGUGGGCCAAAGAGAUAGAUAGCGUCUCCUACGCAUUUCCAGUAACUACCGUGUUCUGCAUCUGACGGUGCCAACACUUCUCUGCCCAACAUGCUCAUUCGACUUCCUCAGUUUGCAUUCUACCGGACAGAUCAAGUGAGAUUAACGAAUAUUCAUCACCCGGAGAGCAUCAGCAGCAUUUAUGACACCUAGAUGGUCCUGGUUUCUAUCUAUCAUCCUUGCUUGUUCCACUCUUUCGCCCAAGACUUAAACACACCAGUCUCCUUACUUUCCCAAUCCUGAUGAAAAGUGAUGGACCCUCCUUCUCUCACCAUGGAUGCAGCCUGGUCUGCUCUCUCGCACUUUGUUUAUAUCUUCAAGUUUCCUAUAUCUGCAGUUUUGUUCCCCCCCCCCCCCCACACACUCCCAGGUCUUUUUAGCACUAAAUCCCAUACUGACACUGUUUUCCAAUGAACACCAACUCCUGGCAAAAACGACAUUCCACAUCUGUGUUACUAAUGCGUGCAGUGCUGCACGUUGAAGUAAAUCACACACACGGACGUUUGCCAGUCCUCCGAAAAAGCGCAAAACCUAGCUCCUGGGCUUCAGUGGAAGGACCGGCCUUUUACAGCAACCCAAGACCCUCGGCACCAGUUCAGGGUGCCAGAGCCUUUUGCUAUUCCAUCGUUUGGUCAAUUUAAAUGCC